UCCUGCCACCUGUAUGGAAGAUAGAGAAGCAGGUCUUACGAUCUCUAUUCCACAGGUUGGAACACUGAGAUAUCACCAGCCGAAGUGACAUCUGUGGGGUCAGCAAUUCAGAGGGAGCUACAAUCCAAGUUCCUGGGCUCGUGGUGAAUUUGGGCUGGAGUUGGCCAAACUGCUUUGAAACAAUCACCAGGAAUUCAACAGAAGAACAGAAAGCCAACAAGCCACCAACUACAACAUCAAAUACCUGUGAGAAACACUAUCUGCCUGUCCUGCCUGGUAUACUAACUUCUAAGUAAAGGAGGAAGUUGCCUCCUCUUCCUAAUAAAAGACAGUAAGAGAGAGUCACCACAUAAUAUACUAUGUUAAGUA